AACUGCCUGCCCUGUUGGUGAUAAGAGGAAACAUUGAUCCGGCAAAUUAGAUCUUUUGGGAGCCUAAGUAAGGAGUCGGUGUGCAUGACGAGAACUUACUUAGUAAGUUUGCGGAAGCCUAAAGUCUCCUUCAAGGCACCCACCUAUUUUUUAGGCGGAUCUAAUCUUCCCUUUACACGGCAGGGUGGGUUUAUU
rnacentral:other from 6 species